UGCGGUCCGUAAAAUGCGGAAGGCUCAUUGCCGCUGUCUGUGUUUUGUGGAUCCGCAAAACACACGGAUGUGUGAAUGGACCCUAAAUGUUGCAUUUCACAAUACUUUAGUAGAUUAAGAAACAUUUUAAAUUCCUUCUCUUCCCAGAAAAAUAACUUGUCAUCCAUAUGCAUAUGAGCAGUUAAGUGCACCAAAUGUGGGCCGAAGCCACUCGGUGCACUUUUCUUCCUCUGCCAGCCUUUCCCUCUCCUUGAUUGAUGGGGGCCUGGUUACUUGCCUGACCAUGUUGGUAAACGGGGAGGUUUGGGGGAAGGGGGAUGACUGGCAGAGGAAGCAGGAGGAGCACCGUGGCUUAAAAGUGAAUUUCCUGAUAACAGGCUAUUUAAUCUAUUUUAAGGGGUUUUCUGAGAUUUUGAUACUGAUCAUCUAUCCUCAGGAUGGGUCAUCAGUUUCUGUUUGGUAGUCUGACACUUGGGACCUCAGCCGAUCAGCUGUUUGAGGGCUCCAGCACUCCUGUGAGCGCUGUAUAUUGUAUAGUGGAUGUGCUUGGCAUCAUACUCGGCCCCAUUCACUUUAAUGGGACUGAGCGGUAUACCAAGCACAGCCACUAUACACUUACGGCAAUGUGCUUGGUAAACUGCGAGAAGGCUGCAGCCCUCACAGGAGCAUCGGUGCCUUCUCAAACAGCUGAGGAUAGGUAAUCUGUAUCAAAAUGAUGAAAAACCCUUCAACAGCACUGAGAACCUUGUUAAAGAUCAUAUCUCCAUAAAAAUAUGCAGAAGCGUUCAUUAGUACGCAGGAAGCAUGUGGAUUGGUGACUGUAAUGCUGCUAGUGCUGACUGUACUUGCUGCUCCCUACUCUUCUUCCGGGCCUCUCGCAGCAUUGUGUCCUGACUGCGUGUAGUGUCAGGACGUAGUGCGCGUAGGCAUGCACUUAUGACCUGACUUUGUGUGUCGUCAUUUUACAGUGCAGCACAGGGCCUGGAAGAUGAUUAGGGAGUGGUGAGUGCAAGAAGAGCGCGCGGUCCAGAGCAGGAGAGGUGAGUUCAUUUUAUAUCUGAUCUGAGGUCUGAUGAGGAUUGGGUUGAGGGGUCUGAUCUGCGGUCUAAUAAAGUUGGGGGUUUGGUUCUGAUCUGAGGUCUGAAAGUUUAGCGGUCUGAUCUGAGGUCAGAUGAAUUUUUUUUUUUUUUUUUUGAAUGUCCUCCUCUAAAACCUAGGUGCAUCUUAAAAAAGUGAAAAAUACAGUAAUUGACAUAAUGUUAAGGUACUCACAUUGGAAAGAAAUAAAGAUAUCUAUGUUGAACUCAUAUUUCUGAAAACAAGUUGGUUUUCUUUGGUUAACGGUAAUAGUGUAUGUUACAGGAAAAUGAACAUUUCGAUUCUUGCUCCUCUUUACUGCCUAACAAAUGAUGACUAAAUGAUGAUACAAGAGGAUACAGUCGAUGUCUAUAGGAAGUAUGGCUGGAACAUGACAGUGCUGUCACUUUCUGCUCACCUAUAGCUGCUCAUCCUAGUAACUCUUCCUAAAUUUUCCUCUUAUGGCAAUUGGAAACUAAGGUUUUUAUGACGCAAAUUGUGCUAAGAAAUAAGCAAAGCAAGUCUGCAGAGCCUUUUAAUGUUAGACUUGUUUUAGGCUGUUCCAUGUCCCCUGUUGCAGGUGAAGAGAACAGUUGUUACAAGUGCCAAAAAGAAGUUCUCCCUAAAACUUGCUGCUGUUAAUCCCUGAUGUGACACACAUUAUUAACUCGAAGACUAGUCAAAUAUACAAGAGUAAUAUGAUUUCCAGAUGUUUCAUGAUCAGCUAUGGAUGUCAUUAUUGCAAAGUAGAAGCGUAUAAGAACCACAGCAACUCGGACCAGUGUGACUGUACUCCUGUGCACAAAGCAGAGUUUGGUGCGGAAGAACAUGACUAAUCCAUAUGGAGCAAUGAACUCCAUCCUCUUGAACACCUUUGGGAUGAACUAGAACAGAGAUCGUAUUCCAGGCCCUCUCUUCCAACAUCAGUGUCAGACAUCACAAAUUCUCUUCUGUCUGAAUGGGCAAACCUUCUCAAACACACCAAAAUCUUGUAGCAAGCCUUCACAGAAGAGUGGAAGCACUUCAUAAAUGUGUCACAAAAGUGAUGUACACUGAAAUUCUGGCCAAAUUUUCACUCCAAAUCUGUAGGUGGCGCUGGAAUGCACACUGCUGAUUACGUCACAAAAUGUAUGUGCAGAUGGCCCCAAAAAGUUGUAAAGCCCCUAACUGCAACAUUGAUUAAUUCCCUCCAAAUAGUUCAACUUUUUAGUUCUGGUAUCCAUUUUAAAUUGGUUUAGCUUGGCACUCUGCCUUAAAUGCUGAAAUGUUGUCUAAGACCUGAUGUGAGACAUUGUACAUAGUAUGUUCUAAUUUUGUUACACCAGUUCUUCAUUCGUCUCUUUGUUUUUACAGGUUCUUGAAUUUGUCAUUUAAAGGGGUGGUAUAUUCUAUGCGAAGGUCAGAGGAGAAAGCUACUGCAAAAAGUGGCUGUGGAGGACUCUCCUUGUGCACAAUAAUACAGUGCUUAUUGCUGCAGGACAAAUAUGUGGCAGUCCGCAGUUUUCACUGGCAAAAAAAGUUCACUCUUCAUUGAGGUUUUUGCCAAAUCCCAUUAUGCUGCAGAAUUUUUAUUUUUAAUUUUUUGUAGAAAUUGACUUUUUUUUUUUUUUUUUCCUUAUCCUAUCAGUUGUUUCUGAUUUUUCACCAUGUAUUUUACCCUGCUGUAUGAAUGAGAUCAGGA